rnacentral:rRNA from 1 species
CAAUAGCGUAUAUUAAUGUUGUUGCAGUUAAAAAGCUCGUAGUUGGAUUUCUGGUGGGAGCGGCCGGUCCGCCGUAAGGUGUGUACUUGGUUGUCUCCUGUUAUCCUUGUGGGAACUGCUCUGGCAUUAAGUUGUCGGGGUUAGGGAACACAUCGUUUACUGUGAAAAAAUUAGAGUGUUUAAAGCAGGCUUAUGCCGUUGAAUACAUUAGCAUGGAAUAAUAAGAUAGGACUUUGGCGUCUAUUUUGUUGGUUUGCACACCAAGGUAAUGAUUAAUAGGGAUAGUUGGGGGUAUUCGUAUUUAAUUGUCAGAGGUGAAAUUCUUGGAUUUAUGAAAGACGAACUUCUGCGAAAGCAUUUACCAAAGAUGUUUNCAUUAA